UACGUAGGGGGCAAGCGUUGUCCGGAUUUAUUGGGCGUAAAGAGCGUGUAGGCGGCCAUACAGGUCAGCUGUGAAAACUCGAGGCUCAACCUCGAGACGUCGGUUGAAACCGCAUGGCUAGAGUCCGGAAGAGGAGAGUGGAAUUCCCGGUGUAGCGGUGAAAUGCGCAGAUAUCGGGAAGAACACCCGUGGCGAAGGCGGCUCUCUGGGACGGUACUGACGCUGAGACGCGAAAGCGUGGGGAGCGAACAGG
rnacentral:rRNA from 1 species